rnacentral:rRNA from 1 species
UACGUCGGGCGCAAGCGUUGUCCGGAAUUAUUGGGCGUAAAGAGCUCGUAGGCGGUUUGUCGCGUCUGCUGUGAAAACCUAAGGCUCAACCUUGGGCUUGCAGUGGGUACGGGCAGACUAGAGUGCGGUAGGGGUGACUGGAAUUCCUGGUGUAGCGGUGGAAUGCGCAGAUAUCAGGAGGAACACCGGUGGCGAAGGCGGAUCUCUGGGCCGAUACUGACGCUGAGGAGCGAAAGCGUGGGGAGCGAACAGG